AUAAGACGCACCCACACCUAUCCACACGGCUGCCCACUCGGCCAAGCGCCCGCACAACGGCGCCUCCGCGUGUCACCACGGCUUUCAGUCCCUCUUCCCUCCUGCUGAUCACGUCACGUGUGCGUGUGCCUGCGCGUCGCCCCUCUCUGUCCCUCCCCCUCCCCCUCUCCUCCCACCUCGCACAUCCCGUGUGUGCGACUGUCGGCGUACCCUCCACCUCCUCUGUUUGCUCAGAAGUCCCUGCCGCCCUCCCUCCCCUUUUCACUACCCCUUGUACACACGCACACACACUCCUGCCGUUAUUCGGCACUGUCAUGUCUGCAAGCUCGGCGCCCGAUCGAGUGUACGUGGGCAAGCGCUUGCACUUCACGAACGGCUCCCGUCAGCUUGUCCGCUGCGGCACACGCAACAUCGCCGUCGUGUGCUAUCGUAAUGAGCUCUACGCAAUCGACAACGCGUGUUACCACCAUGGCGGGCCGCUGCUGCUUGGGGACAUCGAAGAGAUGGGCGGCCACCCAUGCAUUAUAUGCCCGUGGCACAGCUACAAGAUCGCGCUGGACACCGGCGAGGGACUCUACUUGGGCGUCGAGUUGAGCCCUGCUGGCGGGAAGCCAAAGCACGCGGUCCGAUCAAAGGGCUGCAAGCAGCGUGUCCACAAGGUCGAGGUGGAUGAGGCCGAGGAUGUUUAUGUGCGGGUGGACCUCAGUGGCCCCACACUGGAAAGCGACGCGUAUGCUUCCAUGGAGCUGGCGAACCGGGAGAGGCCCAUGAGCCUGCCGGUCGACAGCGGAGGUCGCGGCCUGCGUGCGCCAGGCAUUCACAGCCAUGCCGGCGUCGAACUGCGCAGCGGCCAAGUCUUUCAGCACAUGGGCUCGCUUGCUAAAGCCGGCGGCAACACCGGCACCCGAGGCGCCAACUCACUCGACAACGCACAGAAGACGCGGCCCCACGAGAUGGCAUCCCUCGGCAGCAGCUGCAGCAGCCCCACAACGCGCCCUAUGGUCUCCUGUGUUGCCAUCACCGACGUCUGCCCACAAGUGCGGCAGUUUGACUUCGUCCACCACGCGGGCCCCCUGCUCCGGCAUGCGGAGCUUGGUGAGUACGUGGAGCUUGAGCUCCCAAUCAAGGAGAGACGCCUAGCCAAUGGCAGCGACGGCCAAGCUGCGGAUCUUCUCUCCUCUUCCGCCCCCGCAGCCACAGCAGGCGAACUGAUGCGACGCCGCUGGACCAUCUGUGACAUGAAUCACAACGGCAGUCUCUUCAGCAUCAUCGUGAAGGCCGCCUGCACCGACACGCAGGCGAGUGGCAGCGCGUGGCUGCACGAGCAUUCGCUGAACGCGCCGCUGCCCAUCGCUCGCGUCGGCGGCACCUUCACCUUCGCCCGCCACCAUGACACCAUUCGCAGAGUGGGCGGCAGGGUGCUGUGGCUGACGGCCGGGAUCGGCGUGACACCGGCCUAUGCUUUCCUGAACGCCUCUCUCGGCGACUCGCUCUACGUGGAGAGUGCGGAGCCGCUGCACGUGGUGCAUCUUCACUCGAACCGCACUCUGGAGACGGUGCCGAAGCUGGAGCAGUUCGGGCGGUGGCAACGAGAGUUCCCUCGCUCAGCGCUGGGCACGGCCGAGAAGACCAGCGGCGGAAGCGGGGCGAGGAAGCCAGUCAAAACGUACGUGAUGGAGCUCUUCAUCACCCCGAGCACGGAUGCUGGUCAGGAGCAGCGCACAAGCGCUGAAUCGUCGCCACCGAACUCCUGCCCCGUCACCACCAUCACUCACCGUUCCCGCAUACGACCGGCGAAUGUUUCCGCAGCUGUCCAGAAGUACUUCGGCGCAGACAUGCCGCUGGCGUACGUGUGUGGCCCGCAGAAAUUUGUGAAUGACUGCACCGAGGCACUUGUCUCUGCGGGUGUGCCGGAGUCGCACAUCCUCACGGAUGAUCCGUGAGAGGAUGUGGGAUGGGGGGCAGUAACUACGGGGAUGGGAGGAUAAGGAAGGUCCGUGCGCACAUGAAUGAUGGCGGCUUUCCUUGUGUACGUGCAUUCUGCUCUCUUUCUCGAUGUCAUCGUCCCUGCUUGUUCUCUUCGCCCCUCUGUGCGUUUCUCUCAUGCUUUUCACUCACGCACCGGUUGGGUACGCAUGUGAGGACCCCCUUCAAGGCCCUCCCUCUGCCAUGUCUCUGAUGACCCCUCACCCACCACCACG
rnacentral:misc_RNA from 1 species